UUUAUAAGGCAGUUAUAAGUAACAUGUAUCAUAUCAUUAUGUAACAUAUCAUUAUGCACAUGAUGAAAAGUACUUGUUCUCAAGUCUUGGGUUUAUGUUUGCAUCUUACCCCUGCUAUGUUCCUUCAGCCAAUGAAGAUUGUUCGGCUGCCUCUUGAGUCUCUGAAUCCUGCAGAGGCACAUGAAAAGCAAAAGUAUCCGCUCCUCAGUAUUAAGGGAGAGGUUCUUGGCAGCUGUAAAGAUUUUUGGAUGAAUAACUGCACCCCAGACACAUUGGGAAUCAUGCGCCUGGGUCUUGGUUCCUCUUGUGUUCAAUUCCAGAGAGGCUUCAGGUAAUGGACACACAGGACAGGACAGGGCAGAGGCUGUUGGUGCUGUUGAUCAUUAUGAGAAUGAUGAUGAUUGCCAUGGUGGUGAGGAGCUUGCUCAUCUGAUAGACAAAGAUAUGGAGGUGGAACCAGAAUCCGACAAGCAAGUCGUGGUG